UUUAUUGGGCGUAAAGCGAGCGCAGGCGGUCUCUUAAGUCUGAUGUGAAAGCCCCCGGCUCAACCGGGGAGGGUCAUUGGAAACUGGGAGACUUGAGUGCAGAAGAGGAGAGUGGAAUUCCAUGUGUAGCGGUGAAAUGCGUAGAUAUAUGGAGGAACACCAGUGGCGAAGGCGGCUCUCUGGUCUGUAACUGACGCUGAGGCUCGAAAGCGUGGGGAGCAAACAGGAUUAGAUACCCCGGUAGUCCCCGCCGUAAACGAUGAGUGCUAAGUGUUGGAGGGUUUCCGCCCUUCAGUGCUGCAGCUAACGCAUUAAGCACUCCGCCUGGGGAGUACGGACGCAAGGCUGAAACUCAAAGGAAUUGACGGGGGCCCGCACAAGCGGUGUAGCAUGUGGUUUAAUUCGAAGCAACGCGAAGAACCUUACCAAGUC
rnacentral:rRNA from 1 species